rnacentral:rRNA from 1 species
AUGUCAUUUUGUGAUAUGCCAACUCCACUAAUAAUCCAGACUCCUGGUUCCAAAUGGCAAACCUCCAAGGUAAGCCAUGGUAAUGAAAUCCUUGUUGACAGACUAGUAUUCCUUGCUUCUUUGAUAUCUCUCAAGUCUUCAGAUAUUAACAUCAUCUUGGGCAUGGAUUGGAUGUCAGCUCAUCAUGCCAAGAUCGAUUGUUACACUAGAUCUAUUCAACUUACACAUCCAUCUGGCAAAAUAGUCACUGUCUCCACUAGAGUUGCAAGGCGUCAACUCUAUUCUCUUAAUGCCAGCCCUCUUCCAGACCUUGAAGAUAUUCUAGUAGUCCGUGACUUCCUGGAUGUCUUUCUAGAAGAACUGCCAGGUGUUCCACCUGACAAAGAUGUAGAGUUUGUCAUAGAACUUAUCCAAAGAACUGUUCCAAUCUCUAGGAGACCAUACAAGAUGGCACCUUUGGAGCUAGCCGAGCUUAAGAAAAAACUUGAUGAGUCCUUGGAAAAGGGUUUCAUCCGUCCCAGUUCUUCUCCUUGGGCUUGUCCUAUCCUCUUCGUCAAGAAAAAGGAUGGUACGGAUCGGAUGGUUGUAGAUUAUCGUCCCGUUAAUGUGGUCACGAUAAAGAACAAGUAUCCGCUCCCCAGGAUCAACGACCUGCAUGAUCAGCUCGCUGGAUCCUCAGUCUUUUCCAAGAUGGAUUUGAGGUUAGGCUACCACCAAAUCAAAAUCAGAAACGGGGACAUCCCCAAAACGGCCUUUGUCACUCGUUAUGGUCAAUACGAGUACACCGUAAUGUCUUUCGGCCUAACCAAUGCUCCAGCUACUUUCUCCUGCUUGAUGAACUCGAUCUUUAUGGAGUACUUAGAUAAGUUCGUCGUGGUUUAUCUCGAUGACAUUCUUAUUUACUCGAAGAACAAGGAAGAGCAUGCCACACAUCUUAGACUUGUGUUAGAAAAACUCAGAGAGCACCGCCUUUAUGCCAAGUUCUCCAAGUGUGAAUUUUGGUUGCCAGAGGUGACCUAA